GGGAGGCAGCAGUGAGGAAUUGUUCGCAAUGGGCGCAAGCCUGACGACGCAACGCCGCGUGGAGGAUGAAGAUCUUCGGAUCGUAAACUCCUGUCGAGCGGGACGAACGGCCCGGGACCCAAUACGUCCUGGGAGUGACGGUACCGCUAAAGGAAGCCCCGGCUAACUCCGUGCCAGCAGCCGCGGUAAUACGGGGGGGGCCAGCGUUGUUCGGAAUUACUGGGCGUAAAGGGCGCGUAGGCGGCCAUCUAAGUCAGACGUGAAAUCCCUCGGCUCAACCGAGGAACUGCGUCUGAUACUGGAGGGCUUGAAUCCGGGAGAGGGAUGCGGAAUUCCAGGUGUAGCGGUGAAAUGCGUAGAUAUCUGGAGGAACACCGGUGGCGAAGGCGGCAUCCUGGACCGGUAUUGACGCUGAGGCGCGAAAGCCAGGGGAGCAAACGGGAUUAGAUACCCUGGUGGA
rnacentral:rRNA from 1 species